GACAAUUAUGAGAUUCCACUUCGUGGUCAGUGUUUUUGACAACUCGUGAUAUUGGUGGAAAUUCUGAUGUC